rnacentral:rRNA from 1 species
UGCCCAGACUCCUACGGGAGGCAGCAGUGAGGAAUAUUGGUCAAUGGCCGAGAGGCUGAACCAGCCAAGUCGCGUGGGGGAAGACGGCCCUACGGGUUGUAAACCUCUUUUGUCGGGGAGCAAAGCGAACCACGUGUGGUUCAUUGAGAGUACCCGAAGAAAAAGCAUCGGCUAACUCCGUGCCAGCAGCCGCGGUAAUACGGAGGAUGCGAGCGUUAUCCGGAUUUAUUGGGUUUAAAGGGUGCGCAGGCGGCGAGUUAAGUCAGCGGUAAAAUUUCGGGGCUCAACCCCGACAAGCCGUUGAAACUGGCUUGCUAGAGUGGGCGAGAAGUAUGCGGAAUGCGUGGUGUAGCGGUGAAAUGCAUAGAUAUCACGCAGAACUCCGAUUGCGAAGGCAGCAUACCGGCGCCCAACUGACGCUCAGGCACGAAAGCGUGGGUAUCGAACAGGAUUAGAUACCCCUGUAA